rnacentral:rRNA from 1 species
GAUGAACGCUGGCGGCGUGCUUAACACAUGCAAGUCGAACGGUGAAGGCGGAGCUUGCUCUGCUGGAUCAGUGGCGAACGGGUGAGUAACACGUGAGCAAUCUGCCCCUGACUCUGGGAUAAGCGCUGGAAACGGCGUCUAAUACUGGAUACGAGCUGCGAAGGCAUCUUCAGCAGCUGGAAAGAACUUCGGUCAGGGAUGAGCUCGCGGCCUAUCAGCUUGUUGGUGAGGUAACGGCUCACCAAGGCGUCGACGGGUAGCCGGCCUGAGAGGGUGACCGGCCACACGGGGACUGAGACACGGCCCAGACUCCUACGGGAGGCAGCAGUGGGGAAUAUGGCACAAUGGGCGAAAGCCUGAUGCAGCAACGCCGCGUGAGGGACGACGGCCUUCGGGUUGUAAACCUCUUUUAGCAGGGAAGAAGCGAAAGUGACGGUACCUGCAGAAAAAGCGCCGGCUAACUACGUG